rnacentral:misc_RNA from 1 species
CUGCAGAAAAUUCACAGGGCCAAUG